rnacentral:rRNA from 1 species
UCGCUGCUACCGAUUGAAUGACUUAGUGAGCUGCAGGGAUUUUGGUCCUGGUGGGUUCGCUCACCUGGAUUAGAAAAACUGCCACAAACUUGAUCAUUUAGAGGAAGCAA